rnacentral:rRNA from 1 species
UACGUGAGGGGCUAGCGUUGUCCGGAUUUAUUGGGCGUAAAGAGCGUGUAGGCGGCCGAGUAAGUCCGGUGUGAAAACUCGAGGCUUAACCUCGAGAUGUCAUCGGAAACUAUUCGGGCUAGAGUCCGGAAGAGGAGAGUGGGAAUUCCUGGUGUAGCGGUGAAAUGCGCAGAUAUCAGGAAGAACACCUAUGGCGAAAAGCAGCUCUCUGGGACGGUACUGACGCUGAGACGCGAAAGCGUGGGGGAGCGAACAGG